CCUACGGGAGGCAGCAGUGGGGAAUCUUGCGCAAUGGGCGAAAGCCUGACGCAGCAACGCCGCGUGCGGGAAGAAGGCUUUCGGGCUGUAAACCGCUUUCAGCAGGAACGAAAAUGACGGUACCUGCAGAAGAAGGAGCGGCCAACUAUGUGCCAGCAGCCGCGGUGAUACAUAGGCUUCAAGCGUUGUCCGGAUUUAUUGGGCGUAAAGAGUUCGUAGGCGGUCAAGUAAGUCGGGUGUGAAAAUUCUGGGCUCAACCCAGAGACGCCACCCGAUACUGCUUAACUUGGGUUCGAUAGGGGAGUGGGGAAUUCCUAGUGUAGCGGUGAAAUGCGCAGAUAUUAGGAGGAACACCGGUGGCGAAGGCGCCACUCUGGAUCGAUACUGACGCUGAGGAACGAAAGCAUGGGUAGCAAACAGGAUUAGAUACCCUGGUAGUCCAUGCCGUAAACGGUGGGCACUAGGUGUGGGUUUCUAUUAACGAAAUCCGCGCCGUCGCUAACGCAUUAAGUGCCCCGCCUGGGGAGUACGGUCGCAAGCUAAAACUCAAAUGAAUUGACGG
rnacentral:rRNA from 1 species